rnacentral:rRNA from 1 species
UGUUUCGGCUAGGGGGCCAUCCCGGCUUACCAACCCGAUGCAAACUGCGAAUACCGGAGAAUGUUAUCACGGGAGACACACGGCGGGUGCUAACGUCCGUCGUGAAGAGGGAAACAACCCAGACCGCCAGCUAAGGUCCCAAAGUCAUGGUUAAGUGGGAAACGAUGUGGGAAGGCCCAGACAGCCAGGAUGUUGGCUUAGAAGCAGCCAUCAUUUAAAGAAAGCGUAAUAGCUCACUGGUCGAGUCGGCCUGCGCGGAAGAUGUAACGGGGCUAAACCAUGCACCGAAGCUGCGGCAGCGACACUUUAGUGUUGUUGGGUAGGGGAGCGUUCUGUAAGCCGUUGAAGGUGUCCUGUGAGGGGUGCUGGAGGUAUCAGAAGUGCGAAUGCUGACAUAAGUAACGAUAAAGCGGGUGAAAAGCCCGCUCGCCGGAAGACCAAGGGUUCCUGUCCAACGUUAAUCGGGGCAGGGUGAGUCGACCCCUAAGGCGAGGCCGAAAGGCGUAGUCGAUGGGAAACGGGUUAAUAUUCCCGUACUUGGUGUUACUGCGAAGGGGGGACGGAGAAGGCUAUGUUGGCCGGGCGACGGUA